rnacentral:rRNA from 1 species
UACGUAGGGCGCAAGCGUUGUCCGGAAUUAUUGGGCGUAAAGAGCUCGUAGGCGGUUUGUCGCGUCUGCUGUGAAAACCUAAGGCUCAACCUUGGGCUUGCAGUGGGUACGGGCAGACUAGAGUGCGGUAGGGGUGACUGGAAUUCCUGGUGUAGCGGUGGAAUGCGCAGAUAUCAGGAGGAACACCGAUGGCGAAGGCAGGUCACUGGGCCGCAACUGACGCUGGAGGAGCGGAAAGACAUGGGGAGCGAACAGG